CAUUUCCACGGAAUCCCGUGACGCAGCUAACGCAUUAAGUUCCCCGCCUGGGGAGUACGGCCGCAAGGCUAAAACUCAAAGGAAUUGACGGGGACCCGCACAAGCGGCGGAGCAUGCGGAUUAAUUUCGAUGCAACGCGAAGAACCUUACCAAGGCUUGACAUAUACGAGAACGGGCCAGAAAUGGUCAACUCUUUGGACACUCGUAAACAGGUGGUGCAUGGUUGUCGUCAGCUCGUGUCGUGAGAUGUUGGGUUAAGUCCCGCAACGAGCGCAACCCUCGUUCUAUGUUGCCAGCACGUAAUGGUGGGAACUCAUGGGAUACUGCCGGGGUCAACUCGGAGGAAGGUGGGGAUGACGUCAAAUCAUCAUGCCCCUUAUGUCUUGGGCUUCACGCAUGCUACAAUGGCCGGUACAAAGGGCUGCAAUACCGUGAGGUGGAGCGAAUCCCAAAAAGCCGGUCCCAGUUCGGAUUGAGGUCUGCAACUCGACCUCAUGAAGUCGGAGUCGCUAGUAAUCGCAGAUCAGCAACGCUGCGGUGAAUACGUUCCCGGGUCUUGUACACACCGCCCGUCAAGUCAUGAAAGUCGGUAACACCGAAGCCGGAGGCCUAACCCUUGUGGAGGGAGCCGUCGAAGG
rnacentral:rRNA from 1 species